UGCAAGUCGAGGGGCAGCAUGGUCUUAGCUUGCUAAGGCUGAUGGCGACCGGCGCACGGGUGAGUAACACGUAUCCAACCUGCCGUCUACUCUUGGCCAGCCUUCUGAAAGGAAGAUUAAUCCAGGAUGGGAUCAUGAGUUCACAUGUCCGCAUGAUUAAAGGUAUUUUCCGGUAGACGAUGGGGAUGCGUUCCAUUAGAUAGUAGGCGGGGUAACGGCCCACCUAGUCAACGAUGGAUAGGGGUUCUGAGAGGAAGGUCCCCCACAUUGGAACUGAGACACGGUCCAAACUCCUACGGGAGGCAGCAGUGAGGAAUAUUGGUCAAUGGGCGAUGGCCUGAACCAGCCAAGUAGCGUGAAGGAUGACUGCCCUAUGGGUUGUAAACUUCUUUUAUAAAGGAAUAAAGUCGGGUAUGCAUACCCGUUUGCAUGUACUUUAUGAAUAAGGAUCGGCUAACUCCGUGCCAGCAGCCGCGGUAAUACGGAGGAUCCGAGCGUUAUCCGGAUUUAUUGGGUUUAAAGGGAGCGUAGAUGGAUGUUUAAGUCAGUUGUGAAAGUUUGCGGCUCAACCGUAAAAUUGCAGUUGAUACUGGAUGUCUUGAGUGCAGUUGAGGCAGGCGGAAUUCGUGGUGUAGCGGCGAAAUGCUUAGAUAUCACGAAGAACUCCGAUUGCGAAGGCAGCCUGCUAAGCUGCAACUGACAUUGA
rnacentral:rRNA from 1 species